rnacentral:rRNA from 1 species
CAUAGGUUAAUGAGGCGAACCGGGGGAACUGAAACAUCUAAGUACCCCGAGGAAAAGAAAUCAACCGAGAUUCCCCCAGUAGCGGCGAGCGAACGGGGAGGAGCCCAGAGCCUGAAUCAGUGUGUGUGUUAGUGGAAGCGUCUGGAAAGGCGCGCGAUACAGGGUGACAGCCCCGUACACAAAAAUGCACAUACUGUGAGCUCGAUGAGUAGGGCGGGACACGUGGUAUCCUGUCUGAAUAUGGGGGGACCAUCCUCCAAGGCUAAAUACUCCUGACUGACCGAUAGUGAACCAGUACCGUGAGGGAAAGGCGAAAAGAACCCCGGCGAGGGGAGUGAAAAAGAACCUGAAACCGUGUACGUACAAGCAGUGGGAGCCUCUUAAUGGGGUGACUGCGUACCUUUUGUAUAAUGGGUCAGCGACUUAUAUUCUGUAGCAAGGUUAACCGAAUAGGGGAGCCGAAGGGAAACCGAGUCUUAACUGGGCGUUAAGUUGCAGGGUAUAGACCCGAAACCCGGUGAUCUAGCCAUGGGCAGGUUGAAGGUUGGGUAACACUAACUGGAGGACCGAACCGACUAAUGUUGAAAAAUUAGCGGAUGACUUGUGGCUGGGGGUGAAAGGCCAAUCAAACCGGGAGAUAGCUGGUUCUCCCCGAAAGCUAUUUAGGUAGCGCCUCGUGAAUUCAUCUCCGGGGGUAGAGCACUGUUUCGGCAAGGGGGUCAUCCCGACUUACCAACCCGAUGCAAACUGCGAAUACCGGAGAAUGUUAUCACGGGAGACACACGGCGGGUGCUAACGUCCGUCGUGAAGAGGGAAACAACCCAGACCGCCAGCUAAGGUCCCAAAGUCAUGGUUAAGUGGGAAACGAUGUGGGAAGGCCCAGACAGCCAGGAUGUUGGCUUAGAAGCAGCCAUCAUUUAAAGAAAGCGUAAUAGCUCACUGGUCGAGUCGGCCUGCGCGGAAGAUGUAACGGGGCUAAACCAUGCACCGAAGCUGCGGCAGCGACGCUUAUGCGUUGUUGGGUAGGGGAGCGUUCUGUAAGCCUGUGAAGGUGGCCUGUGAGGGUUGCUGGAGGUAUCAGAAGUGCGAAUGCUGACAUAAGUAACGAUAAAGCGGGUGAAAAGCCCGCUCGCCGGAAGACCAAGGGUUCCUGUCCAACGUUAAUCGGGGCAGGGUGAGUCGACCCCUAAGGCGAGGCCGAAAGGCGUAGUCGAUGGGAAACAGGUUAAUAUUCCUGUACUUGGUGUUACUGCGAAGGGGGGACGGAGAAGGCUAUGUUGGCCGGGCGACGGUUGUCCCGGUUUAAGCGUGUAGGCUGGUUUUCCAGGCAAAUCCGGAAAAUCAAGGCUGAGGCGUGAUGACGAGGCACUACGGUGCUGAAGCGACAAAUGCCCUGCUUCCAGGAAAAGCCUCUAAGCAUCAGGUAACAUUAAAUCGUACCCCAAACCGACACAGGUGGUCAGGUAGAGAAUACCAAGGCGCUUGAGAGAACUCGGGUGAAGGAACUAGGCAAAAUGGUGCCGUAACUUCGGGAGAAGGCACGCUGAUAUGUAGGUGAAGCGACUUGCUCGUGGAGCUGAAAUCAGUCGAAGAUACCAGCUGGCUGCAACUGUUUAUUAAAAACACAGCACUGUGCAAACACGAAAGUGGACGUAUACGGUGUGACGCCUGCCCGGUGCCGGAAGGUUAAUUGAUGGGGUUAGCGGUAACGCGAAGCUCUUGAUCGAAGCCCCGGUAAACGGCGGCCGUAACUAUAACGGUCCUAAGGUAGCGAAAUUCCUUGUCGGGUAAGUUCCGACCUGCACGAAUGGCGUAAUGAUGGCCAGGCUGUCUCCACCCGAGACUCAGUGAAAUUGAACUCGCUGUGAAGAUGCAGUGUACCCGCGGCAAGACGGAAAGACCCCGUGAACCUUUACUAUAGCUUGACACUGAACAUUGAGCCUUGAUGUGUAGGAUAGGUGGGAGGCUUUGAAGUGUGGACGCCAGUCUGCAUGGAGCCGACCUUGAAAUACCACCCUUUAAUGUUUGAUGUUCUAACGUGGGCCCCUUACCGGGGUUGCGGACAGUGUCUGGUGGGUAGUUUGACUGGGGCGGUCUCCUCCUAAAGAGUAACGGAGGAGCACGAAGGUUGGCUAAUCCUGGUCGGACAUCAGGAGGUUAGUGCAAUGGCAUAAGCCAGCUUGACUGCGAGCGUGACGGCGCGAGCAGGUGCGAAAGCAGGUCAUAGUGAUCCGGUGGUUCUGAAUGGAAGGGCCAUCGCUCAACGGAUAAAAGGUACUCCGGGGAUAACAGGCUGAUACCGCCCAAGAGUUCAUAUCGACGGCGGUGUUUGGCACCUCGAUGUCGGCUCAUCACAUCCUGGGGCUGAAGUAGGUCCCAAGGGUAUGGCUGUUCGCCAUUUAAAGUGGUACGCGAGCUGGGUUUAGAACGUCGUGAGACAGUUCGGUCCCUAUCUGCCGUGGGCGCUGGAGAACUGAGGGGGGCUGCUCCUAGUACGAGAGGACCGGAGUGGACGCAUCACUGGUGUUCGGGUUGUCAUGCCAAUGGCACUGCCCGGUAGCUAAAUGCGGAAGAGAUAAGUGCUGAAAGCAUCUAAGCACGAAACUUGCCCCGAGAUGAGUUCUCCCUGA